rnacentral:rRNA from 1 species
UAGAUUAAGUUAUUAAGGGCGCACGGUGGAUGCCUUGGCACUAGAAGCCGAUGAAGGACGUUACUAACGACGAUAUGCUUUGGGGAGCUGUAAGUAAGCUUUGAUCCAGAGAUUUCCGAAUGGGGAAACCCAGCAUGAGUUAUGUCAUGUUAUCGAUAUGUGAAUACAUAGCAUAUCAGAAGGCACACCCGGAGAACUGAAACAUCUUAGUACCCGGAGGAAGAGAAAGAAAAUUCGAUUCCCUUAGUAGCGGCGAGCGAAACGGGAAGAGCCCAAACCAACAAGCUUGCUUGUUGGGGUUGUAGGACACUCUAUACGGAGUUACAAAGGACGACAUUAGAUGAAUCAUCUGGAAAGAUGAAUCAAAGAAGGUAAUAAUCCUGUAGUCGAAAAUGUUGUCUCUCUUGAGUGGAUCCUGAGUACGACGGAGCACGUGAAAUUCCGUCGGAAUCUGGGAGGACCAUCUCCUAAGGCUAAAUACUCUCUAGUGACCGAUAGUGAAGCAGUACCGUGAGGGAAAGGUGAAAAGCACCCCGGAAGGGGAGUGAAAUAGAACCUGAAACCGUGUGCUUACAAGUAGUCAGAGCCCGUUAAUGGGUGAUGGCGUGCCUUUUGUAGAAUGAACCGGCGAGUUACGAUUUGAUGCAAGGUUAAGCAGUAAAUGUGGAGCCGUAGCGAAAGCGAGUCUGAAUAGGGCGUUUAGUAUUUGGUCGUAGACCCGAAACCAGGUGAUCUACCCUUGGUCAGGUUGAAGUUCAGGUAACACUGAAUGGAGGACCGAACCGACUUACGUUGAAAAGUGAGCGGAUGAACUGAGGGUAGCGGAGAAAUUCCAAUCGAACCUGGAGAUAGCUGGUUCUCUCCGAAAUAGCUUUAGGGCUAGCCUCAAGUGAUGAUUAUUGGAGGUAGAGCACUGUUUGGACGAGGGGCCCCUCUCGGGUUACCGAAUUCAGACAAACUCCGAAUGCCAAUUAAUUUAACUUGGGAGUCAGAACAUGGGUAAUAAGGUCCGUGUUCGAAAGGGAAACAGCCCAGACCACCAGCUAAGGUCCCAAAAUAUAUGUUAAGUGGAAAAGGAUGUGGCGUUGCCCAGACAACUAGGAUGUUGGCUUAGAAGCAGCCAUCAUUUAAAGAGUGCGUAAUAGCUCACUAGUCGAGUGACACUGCGCCGAAAAUGUACCGGGGCUAAACAUAUUACCGAAGCUGUGGAUUGUCCUUUGGACAAUGGUAGGAGAGCGUUCUAAGGGCGUUGAAGCAUGAUCGUAAGGACAUGUGGAGCGCUUAGAAGUGAGAAUGCCGGUGUGAGUAGCGAAAGACGGGUGAGAAUCCCGUCCACCGAUUGACUAAGGUUUCCAGAGGAAGGCUCGUCCGCUCUGGGUUAGUCGGGUCCUAAGCUGAGGCCGACAGGCGUAGGCGAUGGAUAACAGGUUGAUAUUCCUGUACCACCUAUAAUCGUUUUAAUCGAUGGGGGGACGCAGUAGGAUAGGCGAAGCGUGCGAUUGGAUUGCACGUCUAAGCAGUAAGGCUGAGUAUUAGGCAAAUCCGGUACUCGUUAAGGCUGAGCUGUGAUGGGGAGAAGACAUUGUGUCUUCGAGUCGUUGAUUUCACACUGCCGAGAAAAGCCUCUAGAUAGAAAAUAGGUGCCCGUACCGCAAACCGACACAGGUAGUCAAGAUGAGAAUUCUAAGGUGAGCGAGCGAACUCUCGUUAAGGAACUCGGCAAAAUGACCCCGUAACUUCGGGAGAAGGGGUGCUCUUUAGGGUUAACGCCCAGAAGAGCCGCAGUGAAUAGGCCCAAGCGACUGUUUAUCAAAAACACAGGUCUCUGCUAAACCGUAAGGUGAUGUAUAGGGGCUGACGCCUGCCCGGUGCUGGAAGGUUAAGAGGAGUGGUUAGCUUCUGCGAAGCUACGAAUCGAAGCCCCAGUAAACGGCGGCCGUAACUAUAACGGUCCUAAGGUAGCGAAAUUCCUUGUCGGGUAAGUUCCGACCCGCACGAAAGGCGUAACGAUUUGGGCACUGUCUCAACGAGAGACUCGGUGAAAUCAUAGUACCUGUGAAGAUGCAGGUUACCCGCGACAGGACGGAAAGACCCCGUGGAGCUUUACUGUAGCCUGAUAUUGAAAUUCGGCACAGCUUGUACAGGAUAGGUAGGAGCCUUUGAAACGUGAGCGCUAGCUUACGUGGAGGCGCUGGUGGGAUACUACCCUAGCUGUGUUGGCUUUCUAACCCGCACCACUUAUCGUGGUGGGAGACAGUGUCAGGCGGGCAGUUUGACUGGGGCGGUCGCCUCCUAAAAGGUAACGGAGGCGCUCAAAGGUUCCCUCAGAAUGGUUGGAAAUCAUUCAUAGAGUGUAAAGGCAUAAGGGAGCUUGACUGCGAGACCUACAAGUCGAGCAGGGUCGAAAGACGGACUUAGUGAUCCGGUGGUUCCGCAUGGAAGGGCCAUCGCUCAACGGAUAAAAGCUACCCCGGGGAUAACAGGCUUAUCUCCCCCAAGAGUUCACAUCGACGGGGAGGUUUGGCACCUCGAUGUCGGCUCAUCGCAUCCUGGGGCUGUAGUCGGUCCCAAGGGUUGGGCUGUUCGCCCAUUAAAGCGGUACGCGAGCUGGGUUCAGAACGUCGUGAGACAGUUCGGUCCCUAUCCGUCGUGGGCGUAGGAAAUUUGAGAGGAGCUGUCCUUAGUACGAGAGGACCGGGAUGGACAUACCUCUGGUGUACCAGUUGUCGUGCCAACGGCAUAGCUGGGUAGCUAUGUGUGGACGGGAUAAGUGCUGAAAGCAUCUAAGCAUGAAGCCCCCCUCAAGAUGAGAUUUCCCAACUUCGGUUAUAAGAUCCCUCAAAGAUGAUGAGGUUAAUAGGUUCGAGGUGGAAGCAUGGUGACAUGUGGAGCUGACGAAUACUAAUCGAUCGAAGACUUAAUCAA